CUUUGCUUUUGCUUGGUGCUGAAUUAUUGCUGCUUCUUUUCUUCCCACAAGCCCUUUAGUACGUGGUGGAGGUAUGUGGGAGAGGCUGCAGCUGGGCUCAUAAACGCUGCCCUCCAGAGUGCGCGCUGCAGGUUUAGGUGUGCUGAUUGAUCUCCUAUCUGGAGUCCAAGGCCUCUGUACCCGUCCAGCACCUUCUUUCUGCCCUCUUCGACUGUCUUCUCGCCCCUUACCCAAAUGAAUGCAGAAUGCCAUUCAGCAGACAGUGCUCGGUGUCACAGGGCCAACCUCAAUCUGCCUCAGAAGAUAUACCAUACAGCCUUGUUAUUCCUAUGAAUGAGAGGAAGCUCAGAUGUUUUCAGCACUGCACUAUAUUUGAAUACCUUUUACACCAUCAAGAAACCAC
rnacentral:lncRNA from 1 species